rnacentral:rRNA from 1 species
AGAAUCAACGCUGGCGGCGUGCCUAACACAUGCAAGUCGAACGAGAAAGUGGAGCAAUCCAUGAGUACAGUGGCGUACGGGUGAGUAACACGUGACUAACCUACCCUCGAGUGGGGAAUAACCUCGGGAAACCGGGGCUAAUACCGCAUAACAUCUUCGGAUCAAAUGCGUAAGCAGCUUGAGGAGGGGUCGCGGCCGAUUAGCUAGUUGGCGGGGUAAUGGCCCACCAAGGCAAUGAUCGGUA